AGUAGUGGAAUAGGUGAUUUAAUUCGAUGUUGCGCGUUAUAGUUUUCUACGAAGUUCUAGAGUAACUCAAUUUAUUCCCGCGCAACCCGGUAGUGCAUGGCUGUUUUAAAGGAAUGUUUUGAGUUAUCUUGUUUACUCAGGCUAUAGUUGUUAUCUGCU
rnacentral:rRNA from 1 species